rnacentral:ncRNA from 1 species
AAAAAAAUUAAUUCUAGUUUUCUUAUUUAUGUUUAAUUUAUAAUUUAUAUAAAUAUUUUAUAAAAAUUUUAUUAUAUUUAAAUAAUAUAAUAUUAAAUUAUUAAGUUAAUAUAUAAUUUUUUAUAUUUAAAUAAUUUUAAAUAAAGUAAAAUUAAAAUUUAUUGUCAAAAAUUUGUGCCAGCAGUCGCGGUAAAACAAAAAAUAAAUUUAAAUAAAUUUAAAAUUUAAAUUAAAUAAUAAAUUUAUAUAAUAAAAUUUAAAUUUUUGAGUAAAAUCUAAUUUUAUAUAAAAUAUAUUUUAUUUGAUGAUUAUGAUUUUAUAAAUUUAUUAUUAAACUAGGAUUAGAUACCCUAUUAUUAAAAUUAAUAAAAAUAAAUUUAAGUAUUAAAAGUUAUUUUCUUAAAACUUAAAGAAUAUGGCAGUAUUUUAAUCAAUUUAGAGGAAUUUGUUUAUUAAUUGAUAAUACACGAUUAAUUUUACUUAAAUUAUAUUUGUAUAUCGUUGUUAAAAAUUUAUUUUUUAGAAAAAUAAAUAUUUGAGAUGUUUAAAAAAAAAUUAAAUCAAAUCAAGAUACAGUUAUAUUUAAGAAUAUUAUGAAUUACAAUAAAAUUAUUUAAAUGAAAAUUUUAAUUUAAUUUAGAUAUUGAAAGUGGAUUUAAAUGUAAUUUAAUUUAUUUAAAUUAAAUGAUUAUUGUUUUAAAAUAUGUACAUAUUGCCCGUCGCUCUCUUUAAUAAAUUUUAUUUAAUUUUUUUUAAUUGAGAUAAGUCGUAACAAAGUAGGGGUACUGGAAGGUGUUUCUAGAUUAUC